UACGUAGGGGGCAAGCGUUGUCCGGAUUUAUUGGGCGUAAAGAGCGUGUAGGCGGCCAGGUAGGUCCGUUGUGAAAACUCGAGGCUCAACCUCGAGAUGUCGAUGGAAACCGUCUGGCUAGAGUCCGGAAGAGGAGUGUGGAAUUCCUGGUGUAGCGGUGAAAUGCGCAGAUAUCAGGAGGAACACCUAUGGCGAAGGCAGCUCGCUGGGACGGUACUGACGCUGAGACGCGAAAGCGUGGGGAGCGAACAGG
rnacentral:rRNA from 1 species